rnacentral:misc_RNA from 1 species
GAUGAAGAACGUAGCGAAAUGCGAUAAGUAAUGUGAAUUGCAGAAUUCAGUGAAUCAUCGAAUCUUUGAACGCACAUUGCGCCCGCCAGUAUUCUGGCGGGCAUGCCUGUCUGAGCGUCAUUUCAACCCUCAUGCCCCUAGGGCGUGGUGUUGGGGAUCGGCCAAAGCCCGCGAGGGACGGCCGGCCCCUAAAUCUAGUGGCGGACCCGUCGUGGCCUCCUCUGCGAAGUAGUGAUAUUCCGCAUCGGAGAGCGAUGAGCCCCUGCCGUUAAACCCCCAACUUUCCAAGGUUGACCUCAGAUCAGGUAGGAAUACCCGCUGAACUUAAGCAUAUCAAUAAGCGGAGGG